rnacentral:rRNA from 1 species
GAUGAACGCUGGCGGCGUGCCUAAUACAUGCAAGUCGAGCGAACAGACGAGGAGCUUGCUCCUCUGACGUUAGCGGCGGACGGGUGAGUAAUACGUGGAUAACCUACCUAUAAGACUGGGAUAACUUCGGGAAACCGGAGCUAAUACCGGAUAAUAUAUUGAACCGCAUGGUUCAAUAGUGAAAGACGGUUUUGCUGUCACUUAUAGAUGGAUCCGCGCCGCAUUAGCUAGUUGGUACGGUAACGGCUUACCAAGGCAACGAUGCGUAGCCGACCUGAGAGGGUGAUCGGCCACACUGGAACUGAGACACGGUCCAGACUCCUACGGGAGGCAGCAGUAGGGAAUCUUCCGCAAUGGGCGAAAGCCUGACGGAGCAACGCGGCGUGAGUGAUGAAGGUCUUCGGAUCGUAAAACUCUGUUAUUAGGGAAGAACAAAUGUGUAAGUAACUAUGCACGUCUUGACGGUACCUAAUCAGAAAGCCACGGCUAACUACGUG